UACGUAGGGUGCAAGCGUUAAUCGGAAUUACUGGGCGUAAAGCGUGCGCAGGCGGUUAUGUAAGACAGGUGUGAAAUCCCCGGGCUUAACCUGGGAACUGCGUCUGAUACUGGAUGGCUUGAAUUCGGGAGAGGAAUGCAGAAUUCCAGGUGUAGCGGUGAAAUGCGUAGAUAUCUGGAGGAAUACCGGUGGCGAAGGCGGCAUCCUGGACCGACAUUGACGCUGAGGAGCGAAAGCUAGGGGAGCAAACGGG
rnacentral:rRNA from 1 species